rnacentral:rRNA from 1 species
GAGUUUGAUCUUGGCUCAGAUUGAACGCUGGCGGCAGGCCUAACACAUGCAGGUCGAGCGGAUGACGGGAGCUUGCUCCUUGAUUCAGCGGCGGACGGGUGAGUAAUGCCUAGGAAUCUGCCUGGUAGUGGGGGACAACGUUUCGAAAGGAACGCUAAUACCGCAUACGUCCUACGGGAGAAAGCAGGGGACCUUCGGGCCUUGCGCUAUCAGAUGAGCCUAGGUCGGAUUAGCUAGUUGGUGGGGUAAUGGCUCACCAAGGCGACGAUCCGUAACUGGUCUGAGAGGAUGAUCAGUCACACUGGAACUGAGACACGGUCCAGACUCCUACGGGAGGCAGCAGUGGGGAAUAUUGGACAAUGGGCGAAAGCCUGAUCCAGCCAUGCCGCGUGUGUGAAGAAGGUCUUCGGAUUGUAAAGCACUUUAAGUUGGGAGGAAGGGCAGUAAGUUAAUACCUUGCUGUUUUGACGUUACCGACAGAAUAAGCACCGGCUAACUCUAGUGCCAGCAGCCG